GUGAGAAUGCCAUAAGAAAUUAUUGUCUUAUGUUAUGUUCUUACCAACUAAGGAAUCAAAGAAUCUUUGUUGGGUUUUAGACUUGUAGAGAAGCAAGAAGAAGAAAAAAAGACCUAUAAGGGUUAAACUGGUCUUUUAGAUUUUAUCCAUCAAAGGAAAAAAAAAAGGAGAAAUUGGUAGGCGAUUUGUGCAGCAUAAAUGGACGAUUGGGACAACGUGACUUCAAGGUGAAACGGAAAACAGAAACGAUUGGUAACAUACGACAGAUUAAGAAGGAGGAUGAUCAGGACAAAGCUAAGAGAGACAAAAUAGAAAUAGAAAAAAUUAUGAAGGCAGCUCAAAUACAAGUAGUUGUAGCUACUCUCCUAAUGACAGUCACUUUCGCAGCUGGUUUCACAUUGCCAGGAGGUUUAUACAACGAUGACGGUCCUAAUAAAGGGAUGGCAAUUCAAUUAAGAAAAACAGUGUUUCGUGCAUUUGUUAUUACAGAUGUCCUGGCAUUUUCAUUCUCAGCUGGUGCUAUAUUCAUCUACUUCUUCAUGGCAGAUAGCGAUGUAGACGACGAUGAAGAUUUUAAAAGGGACUGGUUCAAAGUUUUAAGGAGUUAUUAUUACAUAGCAGGGAUUUUGCAACUUUUGGCAAUGGGUGCAGUUGUAGUUACAUUGUAACUGGUAUGUAUGCUACUUUAGCAAAUUCACUUGCUCUUGCUGUUAGUGUUUGUGUCAUUGGUUGUGUCUCUUUUCUUAUGUACUUUUCGAUUAUCUUUUGGGUAUAGAAAACCAAGAAGAAACUCUUAAGAGCUCUUGCUUUUUAGGCCUAUUGAGCCAACAAACAUACUUUGUAGUCAUGCCCAAGUUGCCACCAAAUACUUGGCCCAAAUAUGUAUUAAAUUAUGGUUAGAUUAUAUGAUCUAGUAUAAAUAUUGAGUGCUAAAUAAGUACUUAUUUCUA